rnacentral:rRNA from 1 species
ACGCUCGACACCUACAGGAGGCAGCAGUGGGGAAUAUUGCACAAUGGGGGAAACCCUGAUGCAGCGACGCCGCGUGAGCGAAGAAGUAUCUCGGUAUGUAAAGCUCUAUCAGCAGGGAAGAAGAUGACGGUACCUGACUAAGAAGCACCGGCUAAAUACGUGCCAGCAGCCGCGGUAAUCUGAGCGGGCUGGCAAGGC